GGAUAUGAGGGAGAUCUGGCUGCGACAAGAGUCACCCCAUUGAUCGCCAGAGUUGAUUCACCUGAUCAGCUGGCUAGGUGGGUGUGCCCUCCCUCCCUCACUACUCCAUGUGUGUCCCUCCCCAAACUGUGUGCUCUGGUGAAGAGGAACUGUCUUCUCAAAAUAGAGACUAGAGACAGGCUGAUGGGGAUAUGAGUAGCUACGCUGGGUGGGUAAAACCUCCAAACAGACUUUGCUUCCACACUUGUGAAGCUUCUCUAGUGGAGGUGGGGGCUGGUGACUUAUACCUGGUUCUAUAAUCCUUCUGUAUUGGAACAUGU
rnacentral:snRNA from 1 species